UACGUAGGGGGCGAGCGUUGUCCGGAGUUACUGGGCGUAAAGCGCUUGUAGGCGGUCCACCAAGUUUGGGGUGACAGUUGCCGACUUAAUCGGCAAAGUGCCUCAAAGACUGGCGGACUUGAGGGCCACGGAGGGACAUGGAACUCCAGGUGUAGUGGUGAAAUGCGUAGAUAUCUGGAAGAACACCAAAGGCGAAGGCAGUGUCCUGGGUGGUCGCUGACGCUGAGAGGCGAAAGCCAGGGGAGCGAACGGG
rnacentral:rRNA from 1 species